ACAAAGGCUGUGGUUCCUGUUACUCAGCAGCCUCACAAACACACCAACUCCUGCAAGAAGGGACGUGAAUCUUGGAGCUCCUAGCUAUUCUGUUCCUGUUUCCAUCAGCCCCUUCCCUGAAAACUCAGAGGUGCUCAGCAUGCCAUGCUAAAAGCCAAAAUAAAAAGAUCUUGGAGACAUCUCAGGUUUAAUGAGGACUUUCCAGCAUUCCACACUGCUGCCCUGCAAUGAAGCUCUGAGUCAUGGUCUGUGGGAAUAAGGUACUGGCAACAGUGUGAACCCCAGGACAACCAACCUCACUAACCUCCACUCUAAGCAGAAGCCCAAAGUGAGUCUGGUCUGAAAUCAGAGCAAGCACUGCAGAAAGGUAUCUUUGUUAAUGGAAAGAGGAAAGAAGAAAAUAAUUUCCAAUGAGUUACAACAAACUUUCCACCUUUCUAAAGAACCCACCUUCCUUAUCAACGAAGCUGGGCUUCUCUCUAGUGACUCUUAUUCUAGCCUUUCACCAGAAACAGAGAGAGUUAAUCCUGGUGAAAAGAUAAAGACAGACACUCAGAAAAAGAGACCUGGAACUGUAAUACUAUCAAAACCAUCAAGUAGAAGAAGUAUGUCGGAAAGCCAGCUUAGCCGCCCUGUGAUCCCUGCUCGCAGGCCUGGAUUGCGGGUAUGCUAUAUCUGUGGUCGAGAAUUUGGGUCCCAGUCAAUUGCCAUUCAUGAACCCCAGUGCUUACAGAAGUGGCAUAUUGAAAAUAGCAAGUUGCCCAAGCACUUGAGGAGGCCAGAACCCUCCAAACCACAGUCUCUAGGUGGCAGUGGGUCCUCCAGUCUUCAGGCAACGAAUGAGGCUGCAUUUCAGAGUGCCCAGGCUCAGCUGCUGCCCUGUGAAUCCUGUGGCCAUACAUUCUUACCAGAUCGUCUUCUCGUUCAUCAGAGAAGCUGCAAGUCAAAGGGUGAGGGUCCCAGAGCACCACACUCUAAUAGUUCUGAUCACCUUACUGGCCUCAGGAAAGCUCCUGGUGGAACCCCAGCCCGACCAAGGGCUGUUAUCUGCUACAUUUGUGGUAGGGAAUUUGGCACCCUAUCCCUUCCUAUUCAUGAGCCCAAAUGCCUGGAAAAGUGGAAAAUGGAAAAUGACCGGCUUCCCAUGGAGCUCCAGCGGCCACUCCCACAGAAGCCUCAGCCCCUUCUGACUGUGCAGUCCAGCCACGUGUGACCAAGUCAAGAUCAUCUUGUGCCCUGCCCAAACUGUAGCCUAACGUUUGCGUCAGACUGCUUUCUGGUACACCAGAGAAGUUGUAAAACUCAACCUCAUGGGCCAAAAGAUCAAAAUUUGACCUUAGGGAGUAAAGGAGACCUAAAAGGGUCCACUAAUUCCAAGCAGCAGAGGAACAUGGCAGGACCAAUGUAACUGAUAAGAUCAUUCAGGCCACAUAAGAUGCAUUAGGUGAACCCGGUGGCGCCCUCUGCCUGUAGGGGAAUGAGAGAAAACUAUCCCCAGAAUCAGCCACCUCAGCCCCCAGCAUUUUUUCUACCAAUGCCUUAUGUCAGCCUCAAUGCAGCCUGUUCAAGUUAACUCCCUGUUGGACUCCAGGGCCUGUAUCUCUCUUGGCUAAAUAGGUACAAGAACAUCCUUGCCUGAUGGGUUCAUAUUCCUCUUCAAUUCUGCUGUCUAAAAGAAGAAGAAAACGAACUACUUUCUUCCCUGAUCCCUGAUACAAAUAAUCCCUGGGAGACACUGUAAUUUGAAAAUGAGUCAUUAAUGCUGUGUCUACAUUACAGAGAUAUAAUAUAAUUCCCUUCCAACAGCCAAUAUUUAUUGCCGGUUUAUUUUAGUCAUCUACCUUAGGAAUUCAUUUUUGGCAAUGCUGGGUUAUGCUGAGUUUAUCUUACUAAAAUAGAAUCUAUGUCAAAAACCCCAAAUGACUUUAGCAACAAUUAAACACUGAAGCACUCCCAAAAAUA